UACGGAGGGUGCAAGCGUUAUCCGGAUUCACUGGGUUUAAAGGGUGCGUAGGUGGGCUGGUAAGUCCGUGGUGAAAUCUCCAAGCUUAACUUGGAAACUGCCGUGGAUACUAUUAGUCUUGAAUCUCGUGGAGGUAAGCGGAAUAUGGUCAUGUAGCGGUGAAAUGCUUAGAUAUGACAUAGAACACCGAUAGCGAAGGCAGCUUGCUGAACACGAGAUAUUGACACUGGAGGCACGAAAGCGUGGGGAUCAAACAGG
rnacentral:rRNA from 1 species